GUUUGAUCCUGGCUCAGGAUGAACGCUGGCGGCAUGCCUAAUACAUGCAAGUCGAACGGAGAAGCCUAACAGAAGAUGCUUGCAUCGGAAGAUAGAUACUUCUCAGUGGCGAACGGGUGAGUAACACGUAGGUAACCUGCCCAUGUGCCCGGGAUAAUUUCUGGAAACGGAAACUAAAACCGGAUAGGUA
rnacentral:rRNA from 1 species